AUGCUCACUUCAGCAGCACUGAUACUAAAAUUGGAGUGACACAGAGAUUAGCAUGGCCCCUGCACAAGGAUGACACACAAAUUCGUGAAGCAUUCCAUAUUUUA
ensembl:snRNA U6 U6 spliceosomal RNA